CCAAAAUGUGCCUGUACACGGCCCCCCGCGCCGGGGACAGCCCCCGGGGGUCCGGAGCCCUGGGCAGGGUGGUGCAGGAGGUGCUGGAGAGGGCCAGGGAGGAGAGGUUUCGCUUCGACCCCCCCGAUGGGGAGGGUGGGGAAAGGGACAUCGCUGGGGUGCCCCUGGGGACGUCACCGCACGGAGCCCGGGGGUCUCCGCAGGCACCCCCGUGGCCGGAGGGGGGUGUCCCCGAGUGUCACCAGCAGCCGGGGCUGUCCCCAAGGCUGUCCCCAGAGGGGAUGGACACUGCCGAGGAGCGUCCCCGCUGCCUGAGCCCUUCGCUGGGGGGUCUGCCGUGGGCUGGGGGUGCUCCGUGCCCCGUGGGGACAGGACAGGGUGGCACCGAGGAUGGGCAGCCGUGGGGGGACCUCACCUUGUCCCCAGCUCCGUGCGCCACGGCCACCGGUGGCGGGUGGGUGUGCGCCACUCCCGAGCAGCCGGGAGCCGAGGGGGACUCCGGGUUUGGCUCCAGCCCCUGGGGGUCCUCCCCCGGGGGGGGGAAGGAAGGGGCUGAGCCCCCCGGUGAGCCCCUGGACUCCUGUGGGGCAUCGUCCCCGUGGUCCCACCAGCCGAGAGAUGGAGGCCAACGGGCCCGGCGGAGCAGGGGACGGCACCGGGGGGGUGACCCGAGGGACAGCAGCCGGUGGCAGGGGGACGCACGGGGGCUGCACCCCCAAGGGAAGGCUCCGGCACUGGGGGGGGCUCUCCCCCCAUCACCCCAGCUGGGCAGAGACGCGCAGCGGAGAGGCCCCGGACUCCUUCGAGAUGGAAGAGGUGAGGGGCAGCGGGGGGCUGGGGAGGGGGGGCGAGGGGGCGGCGGUUUAAGGGAUGAAGGAUUUGGAGCCUCUUGCACGAGGGAGGAUCCUUGCACGCCCACAGCCACGCUCGUGCACGGAGGCAUCUUGGUGCACACUCAGGAGCGUGCACAGCGUGCACGUGCAUGGAUGCACCUUGGCGUGGGUGCUCGUGCACGCACGGGGGCACCUUUGCACAAGCACCCGCGUGUGCUCACACGCACGCACGCCCUUGCACACGUGUCCCCAGCCCUCCCCUUUUUUGCACAACCUCCCCCCGUGCAGGUGCCGAGCGCCGGCGAGGACGACGGCGAUGCCCACGAGGAAACCGGCUGCUCCCUCCCUCCCUCCCUGCGGGUCCGGAGAAGCUUGAUGCUGCAGGGCUGCAGCGGCCACUCCGACAGCAGCGGCUUCGUGGAGGAGCCGCUGCCCGAGCAGACGCCGUGAGACCCCCGAGGGACCCCCUGCUCGCCCCCACCGCGGUGCCAGCACCGGCUGGAAGCCGCCGAGGGGUGCACGAGGGAUUUUGCCCCCCCCCAUCCCAGCGUUUCAGACCCCGGAGCCCGUCCUCAGCCGAGAGCUGAGCACCGCAUGGAGCCGUGGGUCUGGGUGUGAGCGUGCGUGCACGUGUGUGUGUGUGUGUGUGUGCGUGUGCUGCACCAGGAACCUCUCAACUCAGGACUUUUACCCCCAAAACCACCAGCAUCCCCCCCCCCCCCCACCCCCCUUCGCCCUGUUUUUGUUUUCAGGGCUUCACUAGCACUUUGGAAACGCUCUGCUCCCCGGGCGCGUGUAACACUAGGACGGGGUUUUUCGGGGCAGAGCCCACAGCACACUGGAAAUAAAAUUCCCCAAGGGAUCA
rnacentral:lncRNA from 1 species